GGACUGGUAGUGUAUGGGUAACACAUCCUCUCUUCAUGAAUUCCCACCCAGAGAGUAGGAGGAAACACCCCGUUCGAUUCGGGGCCAGGCCA